CAGUCGAGCGAACUGAUUAGAAGCUUGCUUCUAUGACGUUAGCGGCGGACGGGUGAGUAACACGUGGGCAACCUGCCUGUAAGACUGGGAUAACUCCGGGAAACCGGAGCUAAUACCGGAUAACAUUUUUUCUUGCAUAAGAGAAAAUUGAAAGAUGGUUUCGGCUAUCACUUACAGAUGGGCCCGCGGUGCAUUAGCUAGUUGGUGAGGUAACGGCUCACCAAGGCAACGAUGCAUAGCCCAACCGGAAAGGGUGAUCGGCCACACUGGGACUGAGACACGGCCCAGACUCCUACGGGAGGCAGCAGUAGGGAAUCUUCCGCAAUGGACGAAAGUCUGACGGAGCAACGCCGCGUGAGUGAUGAAGGCUUUCGGGUCGUAAAACUCUGUUGUUAGGGAAGAACAAGUACAAGAGUAACUGCUUGUACCUUGACGGUACCUAACCAGAAAGCCACGGCUAACUACGUGCCAGCAGCCGCGGUAAUACGUAGGUGGCAAGCGUUAUCCGGAAUUAUUGGGCGUAAAGCGCGCGCAGGCGGUUUCUUAAGUCUGAUGUGAAAGCCCACGGCUCAACCGUGGAGGGUCAUUGGAAACUGGGGAACUUGAGUGCAGAAGAAAAAAGCGGAAUUCCACGUGUAGCGGUGAAAUGCGUAGAGAUGUGGAGGAACACCAGUGGCGAAAGCGGCUUUUUGGUCUGUAACUGACGCUGAAGCGCGAAAGCGUGGGGAGCAAACAGGAUUAAAUACCCUGGUAGUCCACCCGUAAACAAUGAUUGCUAGCUGUUAGAGGGUUGCCCCCCUUUAUUGCUGCAGCUAACGCAUUAAGCACUCCCCCGGGGGAGUACGGUCGCGAGACUGAAGCUCAAACGAAUUGACUGGGGCCCGCCCAGCGCUGCAGCAGGUCCUUUAAUUCAAAGCAACGCGAGGAACGUAACAGGUCUGGGGUCGGCUGACACUCAA
rnacentral:rRNA from 1 species